UACGUAGGGUGCAAGCGUUAAUCGGAAUUACUGGGCGUAAAGUGUGCGCAGGCGGCAAAGCAAGUCGAGUGUGAAAGCCCCGGGCUCAACCUGGGAAUUGCAUUUGAGACUGCGUAGCUAGGGUGCGGAAGAGGGAAGCGGAAUUUCCGGUGUAGCGGUGAAAUGCGUAGAUAUCGGAAGGAACACCAGUGGCGAAAGCGGCUUCCUGGUCCAGCACCGACGUUCAGGCACGAAAGCGUGGGGAUCAAACAGG
rnacentral:rRNA from 1 species